rnacentral:rRNA from 1 species
AGCGAACGCUGGCGGCAGGCCUAACACAUGCAAGUCGAACGAUCCUUCGGGAUAGUGGCGGACGGGUGAGUAACACGUGGGAACGUGCCCUUUGGUUCGGAACAACUCAGGGAAACUUGAGCUAAUACCGAAUGUGCCCUUCGGGGGAAGGAUUUAUCGCCAUUGGAGCGGCCCGCGUCUGAUUAGCUAGUUGGUGAGGUAACGGCUCACCAAGGAGACGCUCAGUAGCUGGUCUGAGAGGAUGAUCAGCCACACUGGGACUGAGACACGGCCCAGACUCCUACGGGAGGCAGCAGUGGGGAAUCUUGCGCAAUGGGCGAUAGCCUGACGCAGCCAUGCCGCGUGAAUGAUGAAGGUCUUAGGAUUGUAAAAUUCUUUCACCGGGGACGAUAAUGACGGUACCCGGAGAAGAAGCUCCGGCUAACUUCGUGCCAGCCGCCGCCGUAAGAC